UUAACGUAGCAAAACCUGGUAUUGCAAAAGAUCUAAACCCUUUCAAUAGAAGUUCAAAUCUUCUCGUUAAUUUUGAAUUUUUAU
rnacentral:tRNA from 1 species